GAAGCGGAGAGCAAGCGAAGCGAGGUUGAUCGACUAAACGGCUCGGAGCGAGCAUCUCAUAAUCAGGCCCGAAGGGCCGACAAAGCCCAAUCAGUAAAAAGAGAUUAGGUUAAGGUAAUCGAACAGAGUAUAAAAGGAGAGGAAAGCAAAGGAGAAAGGCAUGGACACUUAGCUACACAAACUUAGCGGCGAGAUUAGGGUUUAUCAUCCGU
rnacentral:lncRNA from 1 species